GCGUCGGCGUGCUCCUAAAGCUCGAUGCCCGGCCCCUUUCCCGCCGAGAUAACAGCCGUGCCCCUUUCCUCUCCUCUUCCUCCUCUUUCCCCCGUUUCUUCUCCCUCCUGCUUCUCUCUUCGUGUUCUUCUUCCCUGCUACCCACUCCGGCGGCAGCUCGACCUCCUCCGGCUCCGCGCGGCUGAGCUCCGCCGCCUCCGCGACCGCGUGAGCACGAGCUUCGUUGUCCCCAUCACGCGAGCGAGAUCCAUGGCGGCCCCCCUACGCUUCCUCCCCAGCUUCGAUGCCUCUGCAUCCGCGUCGACCGGCCAUGGUUCAACUCGACCUCCUCGGUUUCCACCUACGCUCCGCAGCUGCCGCCCGCUCCGCGGGAUCCAGAUCCAGCCUCCCCCUCCACCUCCUCAUCCCCGCUCCCCCCGUCCUCACUCUGCUCCUCCAUCCACCCCCACGCGCCCGCUCCGCCGGUGCAUCUCCUUGGCCAGACCGCACAGCAUCGGCAGCGCCAUCCCCUCCUCCACGGCAGUCCCGCCGGGCAUGGCGCAGCUCGCCAAGUCCGCCUCCAUCAUCAGGCGGCCUCCCGCUGAACAAGUCUGACCUCAACCACCAUCGAUCUGGCUUAGCCUCCAGAAGCCCGUGGUGCGCGCGCCGCAAGCUCCAGCAAGCAGAUCUGGUGAGGUGGUAACGACUGUUGUGAGGAGGUCUACACCGUGUUCGUCUGCUUGGACUGCAGUAAAGCAUGCACUUUGUUAAUUAAAUCAUCUUAAAUUCUGGUGUGAUUUUCCCAUCUGGAUGGUAAACUUUGAUUUUCAGCUAAGUGUUUGUUCUUUUUCCAGUGCGAAGUAAUGGAACAGAUUAAUUGAUAUGCUUCUUCUUUCUCUUGAAGAAUCUGAUUAAAGUAAUAAAAUUGAACAUGCCCCUCCUUUCUCUGAUGAGCCUUUCCUUUACUUUCUCCAUGUUUAUGUGAAGCUUUCAAUUUUCUGUUAAAACUGUGCCGCAGGUUGCAAGACUUAAAUGCUAGAAGCCAGAAACAAGGGUUCCAUUGGUUACUCAAUUAAAUUUGAAGAUACUCCAUGUUUUCUAAAUUCCAAAAAAAGAUUAGUCUUCGACUGGCCAUCUGAGCAUUGUAUGGGAUUGUUCUUUCUUUCUUGUAUACCAAAAAAAACAAAGUGCAGCAGUCUGAACCUUUUCUGAUCAGAGAGCAUUACUCUGAUAAAAUAAAAUACAUGUAAGCUUCUACCCUCAUAUAUACACUGCUUAGAUGAAUAUUAUUUUUAUCAAUGCUAAUCGCUAUCCUGCAUUUGUGAUUCACACUGCUCAUGUUUUUGAUGUUAAUGAAGGCCUUGCCUGCAUCUGUUUCAGUGAAAUAGGCAACAUCAAAUUUAGUUUUGUGUGAUUUCAAAUUCACCUGCGGUGAGAUUAACUUCUUGCCACAGCAAACAGUAAUUAUUUGGAGCUAACUCAUGGGAUAUGACAAGUAAUCCUUUCUGUUGUUUGUUCUAAUUGUUUGCCUAAUUGCAAUUACUAAUUCGUUACAAUUUGAGAUUGUUAGUAAUUGUUUUGGUCUCCUGUUGGCAUUAAUUUGUAUCCACUUGAGGCUGAGUACAGUAAAAGAAUACUUGUGGCCAGUGAUGCAUAAUAAGGGCCAUGCUCGUGCCUCCUUUAGUUUCAGUUAUAGAAGUUUCAGUUAUAAAGAACCUAACCUAUCUUGUUGCCUGUAUAUGGAAUCGGGAUAGCAAUUUUAUAUGUAUUGAUCACUCAAUGUUAAUAUAUUCUGACAUGAUUUGAUUUGAGUAUACUGUACUAUUUUCAGCAUGCUUGUUGGUUUAUCAUAAGUAUUUUCUUAUUACGAUUGAAGCAAACUAACCUUCUGGAUAUGUAUAACUAAAUGGCAUUUGAAUUACUCUUAUGUUACUAUAUCCUUUGUAGCAAAUAUUGAUGCAUCAUACUCAUUGGCAAUCAUGCAUGUUCUGAAGCCAUCAAACUCCUGAAGGAUUGUGUGUGGCCGCACAAGUUGAGUUGAUCUCAUCCUAUCUAUGUAUGCUGGAUUUACUCGGCUCACAAGAGUUGAUAUGCUAAUUAUCAAAUGUAUAUACCCAACCUGAACAAUAUUGAAUUAAAUAUACAGUGUUUAAUCAAAUAUAGAACAUAUCAUGUUCCAGUGUCACAAUUUCUAAUAUUGUUGUCAUGAUAGGGCACUCAAAGUGUUUAGGGUAAGUCUGUUUGUUAAAUGAUGAUGACAAUAGGAGCCUUUUAAUUACCUUCUGAUAGUAAAGGGUGAAGAAUUUAUGUUGUCUUAAAUAUUAUUUUGAUUUUAUUGCUGGAUUUGAUUGUUCAAACAGUAGGGCGAGCAUCGCGCGCCGAAAGUUCUAGUCAAGAUCAACAGGACGGGGUGCCUGACAAUACAUCCUGCCACUAGGCUUAGGACGGGGAGGUGCACCGCACUACCUGUGCCCAUUGUGCAUGGGCUCGAUACGGGAACAAGCGAUCCAACCACCCAACCUACGGCCAGAUCGUUGACAAGGGCACCAAGACCCCUAGGCCACUGCAAGUCAAGGCCGCCUGUAAGGACGACCACGCACAUGCCAUGCCCUAUGACAGGGUUUGGCAGACCGGACUAGAGAAAUGUUUGGUACUGUGGUUGAUCUGAUGAUCGGCACCCAGCAUCACGACGCGAUGGAGCAUGACCAGCCCUAUGAAGACCUUUAGCUAGAACGCGUGUAACGCUCCUGACCUCACCCGCGGGAUGUCCACCAAGGGUUGAUGAGGGACCCCUUUCUCUUGCUGUAACGCAGCCCCCAAGACAUAUAAAUGGGGAGCUGGGCUUUCGCAACUUUUGAAUGGUUCAGAGCACACACGCACACACACAUUCACCUGCUUGCAAGCACCCUGUUGUAAGCACACAGCACUCAAACACAAGGAAAGAAUAACAGGCCAGGCACUGAUAAUGGACGUAGGGUGAUUGCUCGAACCACUCUAGACCCCUGCGUUCUGAGUGUUAGUCAUUGAGUUAUGGAGAAUUGCAGCGUACUUUAUGGUGAACCAUGGACAAAUAAAUAUGUACAUCAAGAUAUAUAAUUGCACAUAGUAUGGAGUGCUGAAUUAUUAUGUAGUUGUGAUAUCUCCUCCUCGGCCUAUAAAUAAAAGAAUAGGUGAAGGAGUGAAACCCCAUUAAUUGAGAGGAGAUACAUAAAUAUUGUCCAUGGCUGACCUAUUGAACUGUGUUGGGCCUAGGAGGCAGCAGGAAUUCUAUGAAUUGUUUCCUCUCACCGCAAGGUAGCAACUAUGUCUCCGAUUGUCACGGGUGAUAUCUCCCUGAAAUGCUGCUUGCAUUGAUUCUAACGACCUGUCUGGUGUGCAUUGUCGGCGAGAUGGAUCCUAUAGGAGAUGAAGGCGUCGAGGAUCAGAGAAUUCAUCCAUCUAUGUAGUUUUUCAUAGUCUAAUACUGACAGGUUACUCACGAGUGUAUGGGUGCAUGGUAUGAUGACUAUUAUUCUUCGUCAUAAUCUCCGAUGGCUACGCAGGACAUGAACAAGCAGGGGUUUGGCUUGCUACUCGAAAACCACCCACGGUGAGAAUCGUCCAAGAAAGAAUAGGUACACGGGCGUCAAGUGUCGACGGAGAGCUGCCGUGGAGGUGCUGUGGCCGAUGGACCGUGCGGUGGACGGCGGUGAAGGGCAGUCGGGACCGGAGCUCGUGCCGGGCGGCAGCUGUGGCGUCCACUCCUGGAUCGAGGGCGCAAGCGGCGACGGAAGGCGGGUUUCUUGGUUUGCGCCAAAAAACCAAGGAGGCGGACGGCGGUUGAAGACGCCAAGUCGUGGAGGCACGGGCGUCGAUCUCGGGACUGAUGGAGGCGACGGGCGUCGACGGCGUCUAGGGCCUCGCUGCGGGCGAGGAGGUGACGGGCGUCGGGCGGCGUCUAGGGCCAUCAGAAGGCCGAGGCGGGAACGGCGUCUAGGGCCACGGUGUGGAGGCAGGAAUCUUCCCGCGUGUGGAGUUUUGGCGGUUUUCUCAAAAACGGCCACCUACCCGGGUUUCGCGGAUCCCCCAAAAACCGCGAACCGUAUCUUCAUCCACAUGGCGGCAUCGCGGAGAAGACUUCGACUCGAAGAAAGAACUUCGACCGUCGGAUGAGUCCUUGUAUCUUUUUCGGUUUUGCCCCUACGGGCUUUCUAGUGUCUAAUAGAGUAUAGGGGUAGUUUAGUCUUUUAGUCUAGAGUUAGUGAGGGAUGAAUAUCUCCCUCCCUCCCCACUCUCUUCCUCUCUUUUUUUUCCUGGACUCACCAUUCCCGUCGCCCUCUCCCUUUUGCUUUUUCUGGUUCUUCUUUUUCUCCCUCCCUCUCCUCUCCUAGGUUUAGAAAUUUUCCAUGAAUUCUUGAAGACUUGUACUGUGAUUCGAAGGGAAUGGAGGCCCUUCUCUCCUGUGCCCUCGGAGGGUUUUUGAUUUGAGUGAAAUCGAGUUGUUUUUCCUUCUGGGAUUUUGGUUUCCCGUGUUGGUUUUGACCUUGUGCAGGUUGGGGAAGUGGCAUCCGGCCGGUUGGCCGCGGCUCCACGCGUGCUAGUAAGCGGCGCCAGGUCAAGCCGAUCCCUGCCGCGCGCGCGCUCAGGGGCUGCCUGCAGGCCAGCAGCUGCUGCGUUGCUUCCUAGGCAGCGCGUGCUGUACGCGCGGCAGGGGCAUGCAGGCAGGCGGUUGACAGCAUCCAGCACCUGAGCUUGAGCUGGUACAGCGGCUUGCGGCACCCAAGGCAGGCAAGGUUGGCAGGGCAAGCGGCUCCCCAAGCAGCAGCGGCGCACGCACUUGCCAAGCGAGAGGGCACGCAGACUGCUGUGGCCAGAGGCGUUCGCGCUUGCCGGUGCAGGGCUCCUAGUGGAGGAAACGGUAAAAUUCAGCAGCUUUGUGGUUUCGUGUUUGUGUGAUUCUUGUGCAGGGAGACGAAUCGAGUGCGUGUGUGGGAAAUCCCAACUCUGAUCGUGUUCGUUCUUCAUCAGCACAACUCUGCCCGUAAGGUGUUCGAUGAAUUGCUUCACCAGUCUUUUCUUUU